GUGCUCCCUUCAGCAGCACAUAUACUGAAAUUGGUACAACACAGAAGAUUAGCAUGGCCCUUGUGCAAGGAUGACAUGCAAAUUUGUGAACUGUUCCAUAUUACU
rnacentral:snRNA from 1 species